ACCGGCGGGUGUAGCGGCCCGCUGUGAACCAAGCGGUGGUCGGUCAGGUGGCGAAAUGAAGUCUGCUGGGGCCUGCCCGCAUAACUGGGGGAAGUGCUCCGUCCUUUGCGAACCCGCAGCCCCCCGAGGGGCCCGCACGGAGGUGUGGGCCUCGCGGGAGAUGAUGCGGGGCGGACCGCCCGAGGCUGGGAACAGAGCAGGGAAAAGCCCCCACUGUGGUGAGUGCAGGGACCGCGGAACUGCCCGCUGCGGGGUCUGGCGCCAGACAGACAGCUUCCACACCAGGCUUU
rfam:Eimeria tenella Houghton genomic scaffold, Eth_scaff671